rnacentral:tRNA from 3 species
GCCCCGGUAGCUCAGCUCGGUAGAGCGCCGCUCUGGUAAGGCGGAGGUCCCGGGUUCAAACCCCGGCCGGGGCUCCA